GCAGUGUUUAAUAAUACAUCAGACACCACAUCAGUGAUAAUAUGCAUCCAGACCCAAAACCUUUUUAUUCCCUUUCCAAAGCUUCAAAAGCAAAAAUUUGGACAUUAAUAUAAAGCUGAGUAACAUGACAUUAGUAAACACACGCUGCAGUGUCAAUAAUAUACAUUACCAUAACAUAUCAUAACAUAGCUCAGGUGUGAGAGAGCCAGCUUCCCAUGCAGACAUACUGCUCACAGAAUCAUACCUGCAGUCUAAACCAACACCUCAUUAGCUGUAAUUAACCAAUAUCUCCUACAGCUCCAUAAUUUGGGGGGAUUUUCAUUUAUUUUUUAUUUUUUUGCAAAGGAGAUUGAAAACCUGCAUUUUAAAAUAAACAAUGCACUUUCUUACACCGACAGUUGUAAAACUGUUUUGAGCAGGUAGCUGCAUGUAAUUUAUUUUACAGAUUUAUUUCUUAGAGUGUGUAAUGUAAAUUAUGAACAAAUACGGGAAAAAACUGUUGAAGAGAAGAAUAAAAGAAGGCUACAUGAGUUAACCACUAUAUAUCUACUUUAAACACAGGUCUGCAACUCUGAAAACUUCCCCGUCCUUAAAUCUUGGCACAAUUUUUUAUUUUACAAAUCAGAAACCACAGACCAAAGACUGUAGUCAUUGCUGGACCUCAAAUCAUAUGGAGAAAACCAAUCUUCUGAGAUUUGUGUCUUGUAUACAAAUCAAGGUAUCUCAUCUCUUUACCACAAAGGUAAGUCCUUGGCAUCUUUCAGCUGAGUUGUAAGAAGGUCGAUGUCUGCCUGUUUCACUGGAAAGGUUGCCAGCUGUUCAAUCUUCUGUACUUCUGUGGGGAUGAAGGCGACCAGGUCACUGUAGCCUUUGAGAAAUGCAUCACCAGCUGUAAGGAAUUCUCUCAUGUCUUCUCCAGUCGGGAUAUUGAACUGAACUUCUCCAUCCAAC
ensembl:lncRNA